rnacentral:lncRNA from 1 species
GGUAUAUUGAAAUUUAGUAUUUUUGGUACACUUUUUUUUUGCAGGUUUUAUAGAUUUUUUUGGAAAUCUCACUAUACUUGCCAUUUUAUAUCUUGUUUCAUCAAAAUCAUUUCUCUAUGUCACUAUUUAUUCAUAACUUUCAUGAAUAUAUAAUAGUUCAUUGAAUUAUGAGUCACUUGAAACAAUUAAAAACAUACUUUAGUGGGCAUUUGUUUUACCCAAAGUAAUGUCAACUAGGUCCUUAGACAAUCUAGGAUUGUCCUUAGUCAGCUAAAAUCUCUUUGGUAGAAACAUAUGAACAGAAUAAUCAGAAAUGGCUGUGGGAAUUUUGGGGGUGCUAUUUAAGGUCAGGGCUAAUGAUAAAUUGAUUAAAGUCAUGUGGCAAGUUCACAGUCAGAGGCAGAAGCUCAAAGAGAGACCCAGAAGUGGCUGAGCGUACACGAAGGACUUAGAGUUUUGGAUAUUAUUACAUAAAGAGCAAAACACAAGUUAGGUGAAAACUUACAGGAACAGGGUAAACCAUUAGCAUUUGUGAAUUUAGUAUCCAUGAUUUCAACUGUUCUCAAGGGACUUUGCAACGCCAGGAUGUGGGGUGAUUUAUCGUUUUGCUGCAAUAGCACUUUAAAUCACAUGGGUUUGCAAAGCUUGCGUUUUGACCACGCCGCUCUGGCUCCAAACCUAGCCAACCGUCCAGCUUUUGUGUUUUAAUCAGUUUUGUGGUUUCGCACUCCUUGACGAGAAUUUAGCAAUUCUCAUAAUGUGAUAAAUUGUAUUUCUUUGUGAUUAAAAAAAAAAAAACUAGACCAGAGAAGAACAUCAACUGUGAGAGCUGAUGCUGAAAGGAAAUAGAAAAUAAGACGCCUAAGAAAGUGAUAGUCCCUUGCCAGAAAGCUGAACCCUUGGCUUCAUUAAAGAAUGGCAUGUGACAUUUGACAGUGUUCUGGUUCCAUGACAUAAACGAGUCCCCCAUACACUGAGCACUGAGAAAAAGAUAUUUCCGAUUCCACUUCAGGCGGCACUCUACCCCUGGAAAAUACUCCUCAUUAAGUAAAUCAUCAAAGCACAGCUUAAAUAUUUCAGUUUUUCAUUAUUUCUUUUUCCAGGAGAAAUUAGAGCGGUAUUUGUGAAUGUGCUAAUUCACUAAGAUCUGGGAUGUAUCAAGGAUUAUUUGAACAAAAUCUCUUUUAGUGAGAAGUUGAAGGGAGUCAAUUUCAACUGUGACAAAUUCUGAACUCCCUGUGAGCUCCAAAGAAGUGAGGUGGACGACUACCUGCUGAAGAUAGAGCGAUGAACUUGCUAUGCAAGAUGUAACUGGUGUGGACCAAUGGGGCACAUCUCAGAUGAGCCAAAGAAAGGCCGACUGCAUUUGAGAGCUUAAGGUACCUGUGACUGAUGGGGUCACCAGAAGGAGAUUUUUUUAAGCCAACCACUCAAACCUGCUUUGAUUCCAGAUUAGAGAUUCCACAAAGAGGGUGGGCCUAAAAGAAAUCACAUUGAGGUCAAUUUUAUAGUCAAUUGUAUAUAGUCAAUUUGUAUAAAGCAAUAAAAAUGGGAACUGUUGCCCACAAAAUCAAUAUAUAUAACCCUGACCAGUCACAGGCAAAUUGUGGAGGAGACAAAAUUGGCUUCUAAAGACUCUUCACAAGAUGGGGUCCAAUAGACCAAAGUUGAGAUCCUGUCUGUUCUUUCAGUAUAAGCUGCCUUGUUCACUUCCCUUCUCUGUGCCUCAGUUUCCUCAUAUGCAAAUUAGAGCUACUAUAGUAGACCUUAUAAGAUAUAUAAUAAGCUGAUGCUUUACAUUUUCUACCCAUGUACCCUCAGUCUCAGGGGAGAAUGUGCUGGCUGCUCUGGAAGGACCAGAAAAUUAAUUGCAAAGCAGCCUAAAGCAAGUAUUCACCUUUGUUGUUUUCUACGCCUUAAAUGCUCACAAGAUUAUGACUUUUCUGGCCCCAUCAAUCCCUCCACCCUGCUCCACCACCCUUUCCCUUAUCCUACGAGCUUCAGCCUUACUGGCCUUUCUUCUUUAAUGUGUCCCAAUCCCCAUACAUUUCAAGGCCAUCUUUACCCACCUCCCUGCCACCACUACUCCCUGCCUUUCAGCAACCUUUUCUCCUCAUAUUUCAGGUUAUCUUUCACUUGCCUCUCUUGUUGGCUUUUUAAGAACUGUGGGAUGCUUUCCUUCGUAGUACCUAGCCCAGCUUCUGUGACUAACUCAUCUGCUUCCCAUACUAUGUUCUGAAUUUCCUGAGAUAGGGGUCAUUUUGCUUUUGGCCCAUCAUUGGAACACCAACAUUUACUACAACGCUCAGUAAAUAAUUGUUGAAUAAAUCAAUGAAUCUUAGAAGUUCACAGUAAUUUGUUGGUGUACUUCCAUAAUAUACCUAUUUUCUUUUGCUUGAGAUAAAACACACUAUCCUAAAACAAUAAUCAUUGAGUCAAGUGGUCCCUCCAGGAAGUUGUGUCAUGCUUAGUCUUCCCUGAAGCUGAUUCAGGGCUGCAGUUGCCUGACAGUAUGUCCUUCCCCAACCUGAUAACAGAGAAAGCAUUCAUAUCUAAAAUUGUCUUUAUUAUUGCGCUUUCCUUAGCUACUCGCUGGCAAACUCCUACAACUGAUAGGACAAAGAAAAGGUGUCUCGGGCCAGUUCUCCUAUGCCCCUCCCUCCAUGCCUUUGAAGCCAUUCUCAUAUUUAAAUAGUAGGUCUUCCUCUAUCUGUUUCAUAGAAAGAGACUGGGACUUUAGGGAAGAUUCACCCCAACAAUAAGCACACUCAGAUGGUUCCUAAUGAGAAGUUUUCCCUCAGGUAGAGUGGACAAACUGGCCACUUCCUCCUAGAUUUCAAUUUCAUAACUUGUGGUUUGGAUGGCAUACGAGUCAUGUUUGUAAAGGAAUGACCUCAGUUGACUUAAUGGCUUUUUCUCUCUGUAUAUAAAAACCAGAAAGCUUAAAUACCUGGAAAAUUAUAGAGAUCAUUUUUCCAGAGUGAACCUUGCUCCAUAUUGUGCCCCCAUCUGCCCCAGAAAGGAAAGGGAACAAUUUUCCCUAUUGUAGAAGGCAAUCCUUGCUCCCACCAAGUUUCUUCUAAUGAGAAAUUCUCUAGGUAAAGACAAGUGCUCAGAUUGGGAAGUGAACAAAAUAAUAAACAAAUGUCCACUGAAGCUCUUCUACUUUCCCAGUUACUUUUCAUACUCAUUCAUUGAAAGCUGUUUUCUCAGGGUUAAAGUCCUUCAAGCUAUUAAAAUGCACGUUUUGUUAUAGAAGAUAUUAUAAAUUUGAAAACUAUGGGAUCAGAUCAUUUCCAAGUUUCCCUUCAGUACUAGCUUUUUAUGUUUAUGGCUGUUUUUUCUCUCUAAUCAUAUUACUUUCUCCAUGUUCUCUUUAGUUUCUAAUUAUUGCUUUACUCUUUUUUAUCUUUAUUCUCUUCUCCACUGUCUCCUUUCUAUAAAAGAACAUACAUUUGAAAUGUGGCUAGUGCAACUGAGGAAUUAAAUAUUGAACUUAAAUUUUACAUUCAGUAGCCACUUGGCUAGUGUCUACCAUAUUGGAUAAUGCAGAUGGGGACCGUGUAUGCAUCUAUAAAUCAAUAGCAGAAACAAUAUUAAGAAAAAAUAGAAGAAUUUCUAAAAGUCAGUCAAAAAGAUGCUGAAGCAACAAAAUCAGGUAUCACUUUUCAUUCUUCAGAUUAACAAGAAACAUAAAUAUUGGUAAUACAUGUGUUAGUAUGGAUGGAAGAAAAUUAAUUUUCUCAUAUACUUUUGGUGUAAAAAUAAUAGGGUCUUUUUGGAGUCACUCUGGUAGUAUCUGUCAUCAUUUAAACCAUCUAUACCCUUUCCUCUACAAUUCCAAGUAUCUGGCUUAUGGAAAUAAUGGCACAGACAUGGGCAAGAAAGUCCAUUGUAACACCAUGUGUUUUAAUGAAAAAAGUGGAAACUACUUAAAUGUGGGGCCUUUUAGGCAAUGCAUUACCUAUAAAGAGGAUGACAUUCACUUUGUAGUCUUUAUGAACAGUGGCCUCUGGGUGAAACUCUUGCAAAAUCCUGGUACAAUGUCAGAAUGGUUCAAUUAGUUAUGGUACAGAUCACAUACACAAUGAAAUAUCAUGCAGCCAGUAAAAAGAAUGAAAUAGAGCUCUAUGUCCUGGCAAAGACAUAUGCCAAUUAGACUGUUAGUGAAAAAUACCACUUGUAGAACUAUAUGUGCAGUAAAAUCCACCUUAUACUUAACAAGAACAUUAAAAACAAUCAAGAAAAUCAAAUUACAUAUGAGAAAAUUUAGUAUAAAACUGAAGAGCAUAGGCUCUGAAGCCAGACUCCCUAAAACUGAAUAAUCUCUGACACUUGCUAGCUCUAUGUACUUGGAAAACUUACUAAGCCAUCUGUGCAUCAGUUUCCUCAUCUGUAAAUGGGGAUAACAAUAAUGUUUAGUUCACAGUGUUGUUUUAAGUAUUAAAUAAGUAUAUGAAAAGCCUUUAGAAUAGUAAAUGACAUAAGAAGCAGUAAAAUUAUUAGCAUAAUAUUACUACAUUCAAGUAUAUGUACCUACUUGAAUAUAAUAUAUAGAGAAAUAUCCAGAAUACAUAUCAAAUUGUCAACAUAUUUCCCUUACCAUAGAAAGUUCUGUUUUUCUGUUCUAGAUCUUAAUCUUUGGUUUUAUAUUUUACAUAUACUUUUCCAAGACUGUCACUUCCCUUUUACACAUGCCAGAUCCUCA